GAAUAUUGGACAAUGGGCGAAAGCCUGAUCCAGCCAUGCCGCGUGUGUGAAGAAGGUCGUCGGAUUGUAAAGCACUUUAAGUUGGGAGGAAGGGCAGUAAGCGAAUAACUUGCUGUUUUGACGUUAACGACAGAAUAAGCACCGGCUCAAUAUGUGCCAGCAGCCGCGUUAAUACAGAGGGUGCAAGCGUUAAUCGGAAUUACUGGGCGUAAAGCGCGCUUAGUUGUUUCGUUAAGUUGGAUGUGAAAUCCCCGGGCUCACCCUGGGAACUGCAUCCAAAACUGGCGAGCUAUAGUAGGGCAGAGGGUGGUGGAAUUUCCUGUGUAGCGGUGAAAUGCGUAGAUAUAGGAAGGAACACCAGUGGCGAAGGCGACCACCUGGGCUCAUACUGACACUGAGGUGCGAAAGCGUGGGGAGCAAACAG
rnacentral:rRNA from 1 species